GUGAAUCAUCGAAUCUUUGAACGCAAAUUGCGCUUUUUAGAAUAGGGGGGAGUAUGCCUGUUUGAGGGUGAGUAUUAACAAAAAAAUCGGUGUGCAUGCGUAUAGUGACGUUUCAGGAGUUUGGGUUAUUUUAAGUUUUUUGGUUAAGGGGGUUAAAAUUGACCUUUUUUGUGCAUUUUUAGAAGAAUAUAAAUUUGUUUUUAUUCGUCUAUGCUUAAUGCCAAAAUCUGUGUAGAUGAGAUCA
rnacentral:misc_RNA from 1 species